rnacentral:rRNA from 1 species
AUACGGAGGAUCCGAGCGUUAUCCGGAUUUAUUGGGUUUAAAGGGUGCGCAGGCGGCCAUUUAAGUCAGCGGUUAAAUCGUGGGGCUCAACCCCAUUCUGCCGUUGAUACUGGGUGGCUUGAUUGCGGUCGAGGUUGGCGGAAUUCGUUGUGUAGCGGUGAAAUGCAUAGAUAUGACGAAGAACACCGAUUGCGUAGGCAGCUGACCAGAUCGCAAAUGACGCUCAUGCACGAAAGUGCGGGGAUCGAACAGGAUUAGAUACCCUGGUAGUCCGCACAGUAAACGAUGAAUACUUGUUUUCGGCGAUAUAAUGUCGGAGGCAAAGCGAAAGCGAUAAGUAUUCCACCUGGGGAGUACGCCGGCAACGGUGAAACUCAAAUGAAUUGACGGGU